rnacentral:lncRNA from 1 species
GGUGGAGGCGGAAGUGACUGAUCAAUUCAGGGGUGUGGGGUUCGUUUAGGUUUUGCCCUGUGUAUGACCUCUUUUGGAGCCAUGAAACCAGGGCACUGAAGAUAUUAUUUAUAUUCAGAGGCUAUGUUGGUUUGGAGAAGGAAAGGUGGCUUUUCUACAAUAUAAAGAUGGAAAUGGGAUGAAGAUGUUCAUUGCAAAUUAGGAAAGCUCUUCCACAAGUUCACCAAUGGAAAUAACAUCAAGAGUUUUUCAUCGUCUUAGUGUGCAAGAUAAAUAUCAAGGAGUGCAAUUCCUGGAUUUAUGAUGUCUGAGGAAUAGUCUUAGUGGAUUAUCCCAAACUUGACACAUUUUUUGCAAAAUGCUAUACAAAAAGAAGAUACAUGUGAUUAUGACAAGAUUCUCCACUUGGUGUGACCGGUCUCAUACAACCCAAGGCUGUGUGUCCAAACGCAAUUGCACUUCUGGGACUGGAAACAAAUUGGGAACAUUUUUCAUUGCAUAUUUGGCUCAGAUCUGUGACUUAGUUGAAGUAUAAUCUUCAGCAAGUGACUCAAAAUUUCUGAAUCUCGUUUUCACCAUCAAUACAAGACAACAAUAAUAUUUUCUCUUUUAAGUAUUUGGAAGUGUUGAGAAAGCCAUAAUAGCAACACUUGCAAAAGGGCUCCAUUGUAAAAUGCAAGGUAGAGGUAGUUGUGACCCUUUGGGGAAAACUAUAGUUGCCACAAUUAUCUCUGAAGUGAAGCACGUUUCUUAGACUGAAGGAAAGCCCUGGGAGAGAUUGGUCUAGCUUUAGCAUGACUGUGGGUAGAGCUUCUAGGGAGAAGAAUGAAAUGUAUUCCUCUUUUCCUUCUCUCUAGGAAUACUGGAAAGCAUUUAUUUGUUUGCUAAAUUGCUCUCUUUCCACCAGUGAUAUCGAUUCUGAAAUACUUUUUAGAUCUUGACAAUAAUCAAAAUGUAGCCAGGUGCAUUGGGGAAAGCACUGACAUCGGCGUCAG